rnacentral:rRNA from 1 species
AUGAAGAGUAGCACGCUGGUGGCGAUCCUGGUCCUCCAGGCCGUCAUGGUCAUGGGGAUCCUCGCACACUCACAGGCAGCGGACACGGACGACGAUUUCCCCAAGUGCUGCGACCACUGCAACUCCUGGUCGGGGGCCCAGUUCUGCGACGACGUCGGCCCCAAGUGCCGCGACGGCUGCGUCAACUGCCGCGUGGUGCAGACCCGCCCCGUGAAGACAUUCCGGUGUGGAGAUGGACGCUCCGCCUACCCAUACAUCCCUGCCCGCCGCCGUGCAAAAAGAACUGAUCGCUCCACCUCAUCACACAGUGAGAUCGAUGUCGGGCCGGAAAGUAGUAGUACGUAUAAAAUAAAAAAGGCUCCGAUGAGAUGCGCAGAGCCGUUGUGGUUGUACAUGCAUGUCUGUCGCCUACGCCCAGCAACAACUGUCGUCGUUCUCUCUACUUUGAGAGAUACAACAUAUAGUUGA